rnacentral:rRNA from 1 species
GACGAACGCUGGCGGCGUGCUUAACACAUGCAAGUCGAGCGAGAAAGCCCCUUCGGGGUGAGUACAGCGGCGAACGGGUGAGUAACACGUGGGUAACCUGCCCCGAGGAGCGGGACAACCCGAGGAAACUCGGGCUAAUACCGCAUAACUCGCUGCGUCUCAAGGCGCAGCGGCAAAUGGUAGCUUCGGCCUCCGCCUCAGGAUGGGCCCGCGUCGCAUUAGUC